UACGAAGGGGGCUAGCGUUGCUCGGAAUCACUGGGCGUAAAGGGUGCGUAGGCGGGUCUUUUAAGUCAGGGGUGAAAUCCUGGAGCUCAACUCCAGAACUGCCUUUGAUACUGAGGAUCUCGAGUCCGGGAGAGGUGAGUGGAACUCCGAGUGUAGAGGUGAAAUUCGUAGAUAUUCGGAAGAACACCAGUGGCGAAGGCGGCUCACUGGCCCGGUACUGACGCUGAGGUGCGAAAGCGUGGGGAGCAACAGG
rnacentral:rRNA from 1 species